UCAACACUCGGCGCUAAAAAAUACACCUUAUCUCGUGUCCGUGCGCAUGGCGGCGUUCCCCAAUCCUCAUCCACCUCGGUUCUCCUCAGAGGCUCGGACCAACUAACCACGCCGGCCACUCCCUAGCCUCCUCGGCGUGGAUCCUCCGAUGCACAGGGGGUACUCUCUCCAUCAUCCAUUGAAGCGCUCCCUCCACCACGCGCCUCCCGCGCGAGCGAGCUCGUCUCUUUUCCGACCGCCAACCCACGGCGACCACUCCCCAAAUUCCUUCGAUUGCUGGGCGUGGAGCCUUCGGCGCCCGUCUCCACAUCUGAUGGCGCUACCUCGACCAACCGCUACCGUGUUACCUCUACAAGAGGCCCCGACGCAGGCUCCUCCACGCACCACCUCCAUCUCCCGCUCCUGCGCCACGUCGAGAAGGGAGUAGCGACGAAGCAGAGAGAGACGUGGUAGGAGCCAAGGAGGGAACGGGGAAAGGCGGACGAGAGAUCCGUGAAGCCAAAGAAGAGAAAGUAUGCAAGCUCGUCCACCGCAGACUAUAUCUUCGGAAUCGGCGGUGUCAGUCGCCGCCAGUGCCACCAUGUUCGCCUCCGCCUGGCCUGGCUGCAACAAAAGUACGGCUGCAGAAUUCAUAGAUUCAUGCUUAAAUGAAGUGCAAUGUAUUUUCUCGGUGGGGGCAUUUGUGCACGCGGACAGAGGCGAUCAAGGGAAGCAGUCAUGAGCGAGGUGUUCGAGCGCUACGAGCUCCAGUAAUGCGAGUUCUCCGACGCCUCCGCUCUUGAUGGACGUACGUUCCCACCCGCCCCCCGUGACUAAUUCUAUCCGGAGAUUUCUCCCCCUUUUCGCUAAUGUUAGUUUCGUCUACAUGACGAGAUCGAUGCAUUGAAGAAGAAGCAGAAGCUCUCCGAGAUCCAGUCCGGUGCGCAGGAUGCUGUGUCGCUUGUGAACAUGUGAUUUGGGGAAGCUCUGUAGAUCCAGUUACAUUGCGGACCUGCCAGCUACCAUCUAAAAAAUGGGUUGAUGAUCCAGAUAUUUGCUUCACAUAUCCAAUGUAGAUGAGAAUGGCAACAUUUAGUCACCAAAGAGAUUAUGCAUUGAAUCGAGGAGCACAUUGGUAGACCAAAAUUGCAAGCACCACCAUCAAAGCAAAGCUAUACAUUGAAAGUGAAAUGGCGUCCUCUCCAGUCGGACAUUUGUAAGGUUUGUGACACAUUUCAGAAGCGGAGAAGUGCCAUGUUCAAUUGUCAACUGAGAUGCGUUUGUUUUCAAGGUUGCCUGAGGAUGUGUGUUGCUCGGAAUAAGGCUCACUUCCAUUUAAUCCAAGUUCUUUCACUUACCUUAUUUGUCUCCUGGCACUUUUCAUGUGAUGUGUGAUUUCUUCCUUUUCAAAGUUGUUUGUUACUGAACCAGCCUGACCUAAAACUGAUUUGACUUAUGAUUACUUGGUAAUGCUUAUAGUUUUCUCGAACUUUUUAUGCUUGAAAGAAAGCAAAAUGAAUGUAUGUUGGGAUCAUGAAUCCAUUAAGUUAUGUAAGUAUCUCUUUCUGGUUU